rnacentral:rRNA from 1 species
UGAGGAAUAUUGGACAAUGGAGGAAACUCUGAUCCAGCCAUGCCGCGUGAGUGAUGAAGGCCUUCGGGUUGUAAAGCUCUUUCAGGUGUGAAAAUGAUGAUGGUAACACCAGAAGAAGCCCCGGCUAACUCCGUGCCAGCAGCCGCGGUAAUACGGAGGGGGCGAGCGUUGUUCGGAAUCACUGGGCGUAAAGCGUGCGUAGGCGGUUAUACAAGUCAGAAGUGAAAUCCCAGGGCUUAACCCUGGAAUUGCUUUUGAGACUGUAUGACUAGAGAUCUAGAGAGGUUGGGGGAAUUCCGAGUGUAGAGGUGAAAUUCGCAGAUAUUCGGAGGAACACCAGUGGCGUAGGCGCCCAACUGGCUAGAUACUGACGCUGAGGCACGAAAGCGUGGGGAGCAAACAGG